rnacentral:misc_RNA from 1 species
AAAGUCGUAACAAGGUUUCCGUAGGUGAACCUGCGGAAGGAUCAUUAUCGAAUGAAGCUGGAGUCGGUUGUCGCUGGCCCCGUGUGGGCACGUGCACGCCUUCUCUUUCAUCCACACACACACCUGUGCACUCGUGAGACGGAAGGCUUUUCCCCCUCUGGGGUGCGGUCCGUCUGCUCUACAUAAACUCACAUAUCUAUAAAUCGAAUGUAAUUGAUGUAACACAUCUUUGAACUAAGUUUCAACAACGGAUCUCUUGGCUCUC